UUUCUUCCUAUCCCACCCAUAUGUCUACAAUCUCUCAAACGUCAACCACCACUCACUCCUCACCUGCUCCCUCACUUCCCCCGUCACUCACCAACACCCACCACUCCUUCAAUCUUAAACUUACUCGUGAAAAUUAUACGUUGUGGAGUACCUUGAUUGUUCCUUACUUGGAAGGACAAUCCCUCUUUGGCUAUGUCACUGGUGACACAAUCUGCCCACCUCGGUUUCUUCCUUCCAGGAGCACCACUUAAUCCUCUUCCCCAACACUUAAUCCGGAUUUUUCCACAUGGUACCAAUAGGACAAGCUUAUUCUUAGCUUGUUGCUAUCCACCCUCGCAGAAAGUGUUCUCACUCAUGGUAUUGGACUCAAAACCUCCCGAGAGGUAUGGCUUACCAUGGAGCGUAUGUUUGCCGCCCAGUCCUAAGCCUGCAUCAAGCAAUCGCGCUUUCAGCUUGCCACUUUAAAGAAGGGAGCUUCUUCCAUCUCUGACUACUUUCAAAAGGCUCAAACCCUUGCUCACACCAUUGCAGCCAUUGAUACCCCUCUCAAACACUCUGAGCUAGUCUCAUAUGUACUCACUAGCCUUGGAUCCGACUAUGAUCCCCUUAUCACCUCUAUUACCACCCGCAUUGAUCCAGUUUCCCUUGAGGAUCUCUAUGGUCACUUAUUCACCCAUGAACAACGUCUUGAGCAUGCCAACUCUACAGGUGAUUUAGCAGUCUCUAGUGUUAACAUUGCUCACCGAAGCAACCUCCCUACUAGCCGUUCUCCAAGUCAGUUCACUCCUUUCCUACAUUUUGGUCGUCGAUGUGGGAGAAGGGGCUGUGGCCGUGGCUCUUUCCAUCAGCAUUCCUCCACCAUGCCCACAUGUCAAGUUUGCCUUAAACCAGGUCAUACGGCUGCCAAAUGCUACCACCGUUUUGAUCACUCCUAGCAAGUUGACCUAGCCACCCCUUCAGCUUACUUCACUGCUCCUACUGGGUUUUCUUCUGACUUGACUUGGUAUCCAGAUACUGGGUCUACAAAUCAUCUCACCCAUGAUUUGUCCAACCUCACCAUUCGAGCUGAUGAAUAUCAUGGUACUGAUCAAAUUCAAGUUGGUAAUGGCAAGGAUCUACACACGGGGACCUUGCUUCUCAAAGGGCCGAGUAAGGGAGGCCUUUACUCCUAGUCCUCCUCUUCCUCAUUGAGUAGUUCCCCUUCUGCCUUCGUGGGAGAACGAGUCUCUCUAAGUCAAUGGCAUCAUUGCCUUGGUCAUCCAGCUUCUCCUAUGGUUCAGCGCAUUUUGUCUAGGACUGGCCUCCCUAUUGUUUCCACUAAGAAGUCUUUUGUAUGCUCUGCCUAUCAGCAAAGAAAGUUGCACAAGUUGCAUUUUGGUUUAACUUCCUCUAUCUCCAAGAAUCCUCUGGAUCUCUUGUUUCUUGAUGUAUGGGGCCCUGCCCCUGUUUUAAAUAAAGAUACUUCCUUUUGUGUAGUUGA